GAGAGCAAGGUGGAUCCUGCCUUCGCUCCUCAGCCCAGCCCCUUGCUCCUACUCACCUGCUGAGCCAGCGCCUGGGGGUGGGGGGUGGGGGGGGGUUUAUAUUUCCUUCUCGCGUCCCCCCUACUCUCGCCCGCACGUCUCUCUGUAGAAGCAGACGCGAGUGUACUUCACCUUUCCGUGCGGGAAAGCGCUGCUGCGGGAACUUCCUCCCGGGGUUGGUGGGCUCCUGGCGGCCGCUCCGCCCUCCCCGGCUCCCCGGGGCCGGGGCAUUCUAGACACUUGCUUCCUGUCUCCGUGGGAAGGCCGCUUCUUGUCGCUCAGUCUUAAUCUUCGCUUGCCCUUCCCUUUGGACAUUUAGGGGGUCGAGGGAACGCCCCUUCCCCUGUGCGCUCCGUGGCGGGGACCUCGGGGCAGCGCCUGCCGCGGGCGGGGAUGCCGAGCCCUCGCUGACGUGGUCAGGCCUUUGGUGGAUGGAGGUCGGUCCGUUGCCAGAGGCAGAUGCUCGGCGGAGGGGCUGUGCGACCGCCGGACACUCCGUCUCGCGGAACGCGAGAGCUGAAAAGGACCCUGCAGCUUAUCUCGCCGAACGCUCUCAUUUUACAGCGAGAAGCCCAAGGUUCCUGGAGGGACCGGACUCGCCAGGCUGUAGACACCUAAUGAUGGGCAGAGCAGGAACUAAAAUCCCCGGAUCUUCAUUCUCGCAAGGCCUUUUCAUACCUGUGUCUCUCCUGACCAGCUAAGCUAACCUGGUUUAGUGUAAGGCUGCCUUGGGGACACCACACAUCUUUGCUCAUAUUAUAUAACACGUGUGCACAGGCACGCUUAAGCGUUGUCGAGUGUGAAAAGGCCUUGAUACACCAGGCUUAAGUGAACUGCUCGAGAAAUGGCUCUUGAUUACGAAGCAAUGCAGUUGUGUAGCAUCAGACCUCUUCGCAGCUUUCUUAGGAACUGGGAUGAGCCCUGGAAAUAGACUCAGAAACUUGGGGAAGCACCUGAUGUUCCCCCAGGUGGCAGUGCCAUAUUUGCACUGGUUAAUUGCCAGAGUUCCUGUUUGUGGGUGGCUCCUUGGUGGAAAAGAAUUGCAGAUGGAGGGUUUUUCUGCUGCCUGACUAAUCCCAUCCUGAUCUGUCACUGGGUCAUGUGACAGCGCUGCAGUGUGAGGAAAGGAAAGCACUUGAUUCAAUGGUUUGCCGAGAUGUGCUUUUUACACUGGGAAUGACCUGAAUGCUUAUUGGGGGUUUAUAUGAGCUGAUAUAGAUGUUUCAGGAAAUUGACAGAUGUUGCUUUCUUAUGUGGGCUUUAACGAUCAGUUUAUACCUAACAACUACGAAUUCCCUUAUGAAUUGCAUUUGUGUGUUUUGCUUUGGGUAGAAGAGAGAGGCAUUAAUGAUGCUUCUAGGAAAAAAAUUAUUAGGGAGCAAUAGUCCGUUUACGUAUAAUUAUUCAUUUAAUAUAAAUUCAGAGAGUAUCAACUGAAAUAAUGUUGUUUAGAUAGUUCAUGAUUAAGGUUGUAAGCCCUUAAGGGGAGAUGAGUAGUUAUGUCUGUGUUCUGUAUGUGCCCAGCCAGUGACUGAAGAACUUCUGCAGAGGAGAGUUCUCCCGACAAACCUGUGGCAACGCAAUUCUUAAAACUGAACCUUUAGAUUUAGAGGUCAGGAAUCCUUUUUGUAUCCUCAGUGCCUAGCACAGUGCUUGAUACAUAGAAGUACUUACCCUGUCUUGUACUUGGUUGUUUAACUUGCAUUUAAACCCCUUGUUCUAAUAGUUUAGUGGAUAGAUUCUUAACCUAGAUGGAAUUAGGUAGAGUAGGGAGUUGGGAUACUUGAUUGAGUUGAAUUUCCCUCUGUGUCUGGUUUAUUCUAAAAAGCAUAAAUGAUAUCAUACUUAGGAUAACAUUUGCAAAUAUCUUUUUUUCUGUAUUACCACAUCCUUGAUUCUAGUUAACAAUUUUAAUGCUUGUGAAUACUGAUUAAUUUUUUCUAAUUAAUGAUGAUACCAUGUUCAGUGAUAUGGCAUAGUAAUUUAAUGUGCUUUUUAAAGGAAGGAAUGGAGUAAUAUUAGCAAUUACACUGUGCAAAUUGGGUCCUGUUUUAAAACAAUUUCAGGGUUGUGGGAUUGUUAACAAGAAAUGGAAAACAACAUGUGCAGGAUUGAUAUAAUCUUGAGCACUUUAGUUGAAUUUCUAAAGUCGGAAAGGAAACCUGAUUUUCUUUUAAACUUUGAGCAAGGUUCAAUAACAUAGAGCUUUUGGAAGCGAAACAUUUUUAGAUAAUCUCUACUGUUCUUGAGACCCUAGCUAGGUUAACUUACCUUAUGUUUCUUACAUCAUAAAGCAGAGCUAGCCCCAGGCAGGUCAAAUAAAGGAAUCAUUGGCCUGCUUUUUUCUAGAACCUCUCCCUCAAUGCCCACUGCUCAGGGUGUGGGUAUAGACCCUUGCACAAUGGAAGAUGAUUGCUCUGGGUUUUUGAUUUGGUAAUAAGGUGGAGGCUGAAGGAUUAGGCUGUGAAUUGUGCAAUGGCUGUGAGUUUUCUCUUUACAAAUUUCACAAUCAUUAAGUGGUGUUAGUAGUGUUGAAUAAUCUCAUAUCCUGCAGGAGAAAGAGGAUGUCAUUUGGCAAAACCUGCUUCUUAAAAACCUUUGUAGACUUUGGUUUUAAAUAUUACCCAUAAGUAUAUAUUGCCUGCUUGAUAGUUCCAAAUCAGAGAUGUGACUUGUUGGUUGUAAAAUGUAUUUGGUAUCCUAUAUAAUAAAAGGCUAAUAUGCAAAUUGUCCCCUCAACCAGGAGUUCAACUGGGAGUUCAACCAGGGGGCAGGACUGGCAGGCCAACCACCCCCCACCCACCCCCGCCUGGUCCAAUGGGCCUGGAUCGGGUGGGCUGGCCGGACCCCACCCGUGCAUGAAUUCAUGCACCAGACCUCUAGUAUAAUGUAAACAUGUAUCUGCUGUGUUGUCAGGAGUUAUGAUCAUCACCUGCAGACCCAAAUUCUUGUUCAUUUGGACAUUUUCAAGAGAAGAAUGGCCAUUAUUUUGUGAGGGAAAACUGCUGAAGCGUCACCAUUAGAUUUUUCCUCUGCUUAAACUCUCCAGUGGCUACACUCCAUUGAAGACAGAUUGUUGUCCAGUAAUGACAAAAUGUGCAUACAAAGGGAAUCAUUGGCCA